rnacentral:rRNA from 1 species
GCCUAACACAUGCAAGUCGAGGGGUAACAGAAGAAAGCUUGCUUUCUUGCUGACGACCGGCGAACGGGUGCGUAACACGUAUGUAACCUACCUAUAACAGGAGAAUAGCCUACUGAAAAGUGGAUUAAUACUCCAUAAUAUACAUAAAAGGCAUCUUUUUUGUAUUAAAGCUCCGGCGGUUAUAGAUGGACAUGCGGAACAUUAGCUUGUUGGUGAGGUAACGGCUCACCAAGGCAACGAUGUUUAGGGGGUCUUAGAGGAUGAUCCCCCACACUGGUACUGAGACACGGACCAGACUCCUACGGGAGGCAGCAGUGAGGAAUAUUGCGCAAUGGAGGAAACUCUGACGCAGCCAUGCCGCGUGCAGGAAGACGGCCUUAUGGGUUGUAAACUGCUUUUAUAUGCCAAGAAAACCUAGUACGUGUACUAGACUGACGGUAGCAUAUGAAUAAGGAUCGGCUAA